AGCAGUAGCCACGGUAAUGCGUAGGUGGCAAGCGUUGUCCGGAAUUAUUGGGCGUAAAGCGCGCGCAGGCGGAUAGGUCAGUCUGUCUUAAAAGUUCGGGGCUUAACCCCGUGAUGAGAUGGAAACUGCUGAUCUAGAGUAUCGGAGAGGAAAGUGGAAUUCCUAGUGUAGCGGUGAAAUGCGUAGAUAUUAGGAAGAACACCAGUGGCGAAGGCGACUUUCUGGACGAAAACUGACGCUGAGGCGCGAAGGCCAGGGGAGCGAACGGGAUUAGAUACCCGCGUAGUCCCUGUCUCUUAUACC
rnacentral:rRNA from 1 species